GGUGAUAAGGCCGAGGCGGUUCCCGCUGGGCUCAUAACCCACAGGUCGCAGGUUCAAAUCCUGUUCCCGCUA
rnacentral:tRNA from 1 species